GUAGGUACUGGAUAGGUACAGGUUUUGAUAGGUGGAGUGCUAAACUGCGCCGGAUUGGGGACGGUGCCGACGUGGCGGCUCGGGUGCCGUUGGAUUGGGGGUGCCUAUUUCAGCUGCUUGCGGAGCUGACCUUCCCUGUGAUGAAUUGAUGAUUGAUUGCCGUUUCUGGAGUGCGAGAAUUGUCAACUGGCUGAUGACUUGAAGCCAUCCACGCAGCUGCCUAAUUGAUUUUCACUUCUGUGAUGAGCUGGAGAAAUAGAAGUUUGUGGUGGAUUAUUGUGGUUAAGUGGAUUGGAUUAGAGUAGUUUUGAUUUUUAUCGGUUGGAGAGGUAUUUCGGGGUGUGAGGAUGGAGUUUCUCUAGUGCUGAUUGUUUUUGGGGGUCAAUUUCAAACCCUAGUUCGUGGUUGAGAUUAGUCUUGGAGGCUGAGAACUGAGUGAGUGAUGGAGAACAGUGAGAUGGGGAAGACCGGGGAUGGGUUUAUUGAUCGGAGUAAAGUGAGGAUUUUGUUGUGUGAUAAUGAUGUGAGAAGUUCUGAGGAGGUUUUUACACUUUUGUGUAAAUGUUCCUAUCAAGGUUUUAAUUUGCUAUUCUUCUUCUUUAUUUGGAAUUUAUUGAUUUCCUUAUUGAUUGAAGUUGCUCUCUAAGUUUAGUUAGUCAUUUAUUAUAUUGAUGGUUCUUACUUGCAAUAUGUGUUCUUUGGAUGUAUGUACUUCUGCUAUUUAUUUAUAAAGUAGUUGCAAAGCUUUUAAUGAUCUAUAGUUGUGAUACGUAUCUUUCAUGGAUCGAAUCGAUUAAGGAAGCUUACUGUGGAUUAAGAAGCAUAUGCAUCUCUCUAUUAUGGCUUUACCAGGGUAAUUACGCUCUUAUAGAAAAUUGGUGUAAUUGCCGAUAUGAUGUGACGUAGAUUAAGCCGACUAUGUAGGUUACUAUAUUUAGACGCCUGACUUGCUCUAAGUCGCAUGUCGGAAAGGUUUUAUUUGGAAAAUGCAUUGAACUCCGUUUGGAAUGCUUGAUUAGACCCAAUAAGUAGGUAAUUGGCAUAAGUCUAACUGCAUUCCUUAAGUUUCGGUACGAUCUUCUGCUAGGCUGGAUCAGAACUUAACUUCUGUAACUGGAACCGAGAUGUCCCACCUGUUUCCAUAUGCUAAAACACGAGCCCAGCUGUUGGCUAUAUCAACCUUGCAGAGCUCCUCCUUACUUUUAUCACUUUCAUCUUUGCCAUGGCAAUUCACAUGGAAAAUAUUGGACCUGUUUACUUAAGAACUCAUUCUAAUUAACUUUUACAUCAUUUGUCACUUAAUCAGUUGACGAAGAUAUAGGACUUCAUUCAACUCCGUGUAUAUGCAGUACUGCCCAUCUCUACAAUCGGUUGCUUUAGUACUACAUUCUGGAAUAAUUCUCAAUCGUAUCUGCAGUAAGGGUUUCUGUUCUUUUUCUUGUCUAUAAAGUUCCAUCAGACACGUGUAACCGAUGUCUGAAUUAGAUAUACUUUCUUUCAAGUUCCAAAUCUGUAUGAUGUCCUCCUUUGUACUCCUGCUGAUUAUUUUGGGUUGUACGCACACUAGCAAAUACAGAUGAGGAGAACACUAUUAAAUUACAUUCGGUUUGGUGAUGGUCUGAGUAGAAAAUAUGCUGCAAGUUCUAAUAUUAGUGUGUUCCUUCGUACCCUGGCAGGGGUUGUUAGUGUAGCUGGUGCUUGCUUCCCAGAAUUUGUACUAUGAUAUAUAAUGAUUUUUGGUAACUUCAAAGAAAAAUGAAGACAAGUUUAGGAACUGUCUUAAGAGCUUCGAGGAACUUAUGUAGUUUUGGAAUUUGGCAACAGUUGCCCAGAUAAGAUUCUGACAGACUUGAGAAAAAAAAACAGGGAUCUAGUUAUUGAUUCUGGAAUGUUGAUUUGAGUUUUAUUUUAUUUCAUGCAUUCAACUAUCUGUGAAUUUUUUAUGCUGAAUGUAAUGGAUCUUUCUUUUCAGUGACUGCUGUAAAGUCGCCAAGACAAGUGAUUGAUGCACUGAAUGCAGAGGGGCCUGAUAUAGAUAUUAUUCUUUCUGAGGUUGACCUUCCAAUGUCUAAAGGACUAAAAAUGUUAAAAUAUAUCACAAGGGACAAAGAGUUGCGACGAAUACCAGUGAUAAGUAAGUAUUCACUCUUUUGGUUUCUCGUAGAGUUUUUUAAUUAUAAAUAUUUGAAUUAUUUUGCUGUGUAUGUUUUUCUAGUGAUGUCAGCUCAAGAUGAGGUUCCCCUCGUUGUCAAGUGUCUCAAAUUUGGAGCAGCUGACUAUCUAGUGAAGCCAUUACGUACAAAUGAGCUGUUGAACUUGUGGACUCACAUGUGGAGAAGAAGGAGAAUGGUACAUACUAUCUACUUUACAUAAAGUAGUUACUAUUAUUUAAUAUUUUUCAAAUGGGGUUUUCCUUUAAUAUUUUAAUACAGAUUUUAAAGUUGGUGGCAAAAUGAGAAUAUUUUGAAAGUUCAGUAAUUUAUAUGCAAUUAACCCUUUCCUUUAACAGUUGUACCGGACUCUUUAUUCUUCGUUAUAUGGAAAUUUCCCCCCUAAAAAGGGAUGUAUUGAACAAAUCAAUCAUAAAUUCUGAGUUUUUACUAUCUUGGCUCAUGAUGGGUCUAAACUGGCUAGUGCCACUUGUUCUUUGUUGAGUAUAAUCUACAUCAUGCAAACCAUGUGCAUAAAACUAGUUUGUCAUCAUUUUUAGGCAUUUCUAGGACAUAUCAUUCUUGUAUCACACUCUUUUUUGCACCCAGGCUAUUACCUUGAAGCAAGGUGUCGUAGUCCUAUUGUCAUAUUUCCUAUGGAUUAUGUUUUCUUCGGCAGAGUACAUUAGCCAUGUAUUCCUUAAGGCUUUAGUAUUUAUACAAUGAUUGCAUCUGUCUAACUUUUCCAUCUACAGCUGGGACUUGUGGAGAAGAACAUCAUAAGUUAUGAUUUUGAUCUGGUGGUGUCAGACCACAGUGAUGAUGCUAACACCAAUAGCACUACCUUAUUUUCGGAUGACACAGACGACAAGUCUCGAAAGAGUACUAACCCAGAGAUGUGUAUCUCAACUCACCAAGAAGAUGAGGUGAGUUUGGUUUUAUGUACUGAAAUCACCCUUGGAGGGUCCAAUUCAUGACUUCUAGGUUAUCUAGUGGGACAAGUCAUCAGGGAACUUCAAUAUUUAUAAAAAAGAGGAGGAGUGAUCUUGAGGGGAGAUUAAUGUGGUUAAUCAAUCUUGGAAUCGAUGUCCUUUCAUUGAUUCCUCGGCCUAUUCACUCUUAUAAUUAAGAGCUUGCUAUUACCAAUGUCUACUACUAUAUCAACAUCACUUGCAGAUUCAACUGCUUUUAAGCUGUUUAUUCUCAAUUAAGAUUUGAUCUGCGUGCAUUUGAUUUGUCUUUGCAUCUACAUUUUCAGACAGCUACCACCACAGCUGCUCCUAUAGCUACUGUAGAUGAGACUCAACGGGAGUGUCAGCCUGACGUGCCAGGAAUAAGUGACAGGCGUACAUUUGAAAUGAGGAUAGGUGAAUUGAUCACAGGAUUUAAUUAUUUUGUGACUGCUGAUAGCUGCUAAUCUUGUGCAUUCCUGUAUGUGUGCAUGUAUUUCAAGAAUGAAGUUGAAAGUGUUUUUUUUUGGCUUAUUCACACAUACAUUUCCUAUGUGACUGUUAACUAAACGCUGGAAGUAUGGAUCAAAUAGUUAAAGUGCCUAUUUCAUUUGAUAUGUAGACCAGGAAAUUUUUGGAUCGCUUUGGUCCCAACUUUUUGGGAACUCCUUUUUGUUGGAUACUGGUAUUGUCAUGAACAUAUGACGUGGGGUCUGUAGUCCAAAUGAAACUGGAAGAAACUAAAGCAGUAGUCAUAGGUUUUCCCAACCCUUGCCUCCCUUUUUGGGAUUCUUAACCUUAAUUCAUUCUAUUUCCGGACUGCUGAAAAAUGUGAAGAUGCUGUGCUAUCAUAUUCUGGAUGUGGCCAAACUGAUACAUCAAAGUUCUGAAGUUUUCCUGUGUAGACCGGAAUUUAUGGACAAAGUUCCAUACUAACUAGUAAAGGUACAUAGGUAACUAUUUGGUGAAAUAAUUGGAUUAGACUAGUCGAGAUUGGAAGAACAUCUUUUACCAAUUUAAGGAAAAGUUUUACCAAUGGAUGUGUAUCACUUCUUCACAAGAACAUGCAACUCGCUUUCUUGUUCUUGAAGCAGGCUAUUGAUAUGUUAUAGCUUCAACUAGAAUGAAAUUUCUUUGCUCAUGAAUGCAAAUCAUAUCCUACCUGUUUCAACUUAGAAUUCUCUCUUUGUUUCACCGAAGGGUUUUUGCCCCUUCCAUCAAUUUUCAUAUAUUAUUAUGAUUGUAAAUUCUUUUGUAGCAAUUUCUGUAACUCCAGUGCAUUUACAUGCUAGAGAACUGUAAUUUCGAGUUUCUUCUUCAAUCAAUUUCAUUUAUAUGAAAAACUUUGAUUAAGUUUAAUUUCUAGUUCACUCCGCUAUUUGAUAGUUUUCAUGGCAAGGUUAGCAUAUGAGUUAUCACUUAUUGAUUUCUUCUGGAUGCAGCACUUUAGAUUCUUUAGAGUUAUUUCUUGAACUUCUUACUGAGAUUUUGAAAGAUUAAGGCUUGAUCAAAGCAAGCUUUUGCUGAGUUUUCCAAUUUCCAUAUGACAUAAGUCUAAGUGUGCUUUUAAAUUGCUUCAGGACAAAUUUUACCGUUUUUAAAGAAGAGCGAAUUGAAGAUAGGCGAAUCUUCUGCUUUUUUCACCUAUGUCAAAGCCAGCACAUCCAAAAAUAUCAACCAUGGGUUUUCUUCUGUUCCUGAAAGUACAGCUCAACAUGUGAGCUUCGUGGAGAAUCACAUACUGAAUGGUGACGUGGGUUCGAGCAUCCAAAGAGAAAAAGCUCAAGAGACCCUGGAAAACCCUUCACCACCAGAUGAACAACCAAGCAGUAAUAGUGCUCCUGAAUCGUUUGUUAUGGACAGGUCAUGCACUCCUCCUAUAUCAGUUGACAUAUCUCAACAGAGGAACUCAAAGGAGUUCUCUCAGGAGCAUAUGCGUUUAGGAAAUGAUUCUCCUAAUGAUGUGACUGGUUGUUAUAACCAUACCCCUUAUCCUUAUUACAUGUCUGGAGUAAUGAAUCAAGUGCCGAUGUCAUCAGCAUCUAUGUAUCCCAAGAACCUACCCGACAACCAUGCUAAUUCUGCUUUAAUUCCUCAAUACAAUCAUGCUCCACAAUGUCCUCCUCACAUCCCAGGAAUGGCAUCUUAUCCUUACUACCCGUUUGGCAUAUGCCUACAACCAGGUCAAAUGCCUAGUCCACAUCCAUGGCCGUCAUUUGGAAAUUCUACGUUCAGUGAAGUGAAGUUAAGUAAAGUCGACCGUAGAGAGGCAGCACUGCUGAAGUUUAGGCAAAAACGGAAGGAAAGGUGCUUUGACAAGAAGAUCAGGUACGUGAAUAGGAAAAAACUAGCAGAACGUAGACCUCGUCUAAGGGGCCAGUUUGUGAGGAAGGUAAAUGGUGUUAACGUGGAUCUUAAUGGCCAACCUGCUCUAACCGAAGAUGAUGAGGAAGAAGAGGAAGAGUAUGAUGAGGAAGAUCAAACUGUUACUACGGAACUUUCACAUGAGGAUGGUGCUUCCAUGUGCCAAUAAAUAUCCUUACCCAAUGAAGGUACUCAGUUUGUAAUGCUUUUCUCGCUUUUUCCAUUACAUACACUCACCUCAUCAUUCACUUGUGUAUCUAAUCUCUCUGUAAUGCUGUCUGCAGAAACAGAAAGCAUGUGGCCUGUGGGUCUUGUUACUCACUGUUGAUUAGUACAGAUAACAUGUGGCAGUUCCUCUCUGAUAAUCACUAGAUGAUUUUGCAUUCAUCUUUGAGAUCAGCCAGAUGUGAUCAUAAAAGAUAAAUAUCUCAGGAUAUGAAGGUAGGAGUACAUGGAGCUAUUCUUGGACACUCUCAUUGGGCCCGGACAGAGGAGACGAUUUGUGGAUUUCAGCAAGUUCUCUAGCUAUCUCAUUGGCUUCUCAAGAUUGAUAUCCCAAAGAGGAAAAAGGUAAAGUUAGAUAUAUGGAUUAAUUUCCAUCUGUGACACCUGCGAGACUGCUUAUGUUUUAGCUGAAACUAUAGUCAUCCUACGCACUGUGCAUGAUAUGAUCCUUUUCUGAAGGGCUAAGGGUGUCUUGACUAUGACAAUCUAUGCCUUCUCUUUUACAUGACUUGUGUCUAAAUAGAACAAAAUAUAUGUUGUAUUCGUUUUCUAUAUAUGCUUUGUUGUGGUUGUUAGUUGUUACAGAAUAAGAUAUUUUUUAGAGUAUAGAGAGCUACAUACCCUACAGAUCAUCGUACGAACUUCCUUUUCAUGUAGUACUAUUGAUAGAUCCUACCAACUUUCUUUUAGGUUAAAACUUCCAUUAUAGUGUAGAUGUGCAGCUUAACGUAGUUUUCUUUUAGAUGAAAGAACGGUGACGCGUGCUACUGUGCAUUGGUGGUGCAAUACUGCACUCGGUAAGUUACUCUUUCUACUUUAUUUAUUUAUUUAUAUCUGUAGAUGAUUUUAUUCAUCCGUAACUGCUUAGGCUAAUCUUGCUAUAAUUUUACCACUGCGUAACUUUAGUGUUACAACUUAUCUCUUCAACUCUAGUUGCAAAAAUUUAGAGUUAGAACUGUUAGUAGCUUCGUUUGAUGAAUUUAGAGUCAAAUACUUUGUUCAGUUAACGGCCGAAUAAAUCCUCACUUUCUGACCCAUUUUGCAAUUUGGACACUACUUAAAACAUUUCUUUAGUUACUUCACCUUUUGACUUGUAGCUAGGAAUUUUAAUAUUCACUACAUUUUCAGCAUUGAAAACAUCGACAUUUUUCGAAGAAAUGUUUGUCUAAAAUUGCGACAAAUCAAAAAAUGAAGUCGCUAUUGAAACGUUUAAAAAGUGAUUCAAAAGGGCAAAAUGAGUCAAAUAUUGAUUUAUUUGACAUGGAAACAACUCCGAGGAUGAGGAUGACAUUAAACUGGGCCUACAAACAGAUUAAUGAAAAACAUAAUCCACACACCUCAUGAUUACAACAAAUCAAGGGCAUAGAAAUACACUUGGGCGUCGUGUAAUGAAUGACGAGAAAACCAAGGGACUUCCUGCAGUUGAAGUCAGCGGCGGGUCAACUUGAAGUAGAGAAUGACAAGUAUGGCGAUUACUAAGACUGCAAUGAUAAUGCCGAUGAUCCAUUUGUUCCUGCUCAUCCGUCUUGACAUGUUGGUCAGAAUUUUCUUGCUCCGGCCAAUGUUAUCAUCCACCCCAUGAAGCUGCAAAAGGUUAAUCUCGAUAAUCGGUAAUAAACAGUUUCAGCAAAAGGAGGUAGGCCGGGAAAGAACACGAGACGUACAGUGUUAUGUGCGUGCAGGAGGGCUUGACGUUGCUGGUGCAAAUCCUGAAGAAUUGAGACGCCAAGCUCCUCCGUUUCAAGCAUUGUUUUCCGACCUUCCCUGAUCCUGUCGCUCGACUUACCUAAUUUUUCAGUUGACAUCAGUAGCCUUGCUCGUUGAUCUGCUGAUGCCUAUAUAAUCGAGCAUCAAAUUGUAAGCUAAACUGGGGCAUAAUUUUAGGAGGAAAAUAAACCAAACAAGUAUAAAAUCCUUACAGGACACGAAUAGGUAUAGGAGAAGCCAGCAAUACUAGAAGAACAAAGGAAAGGAUCAGUACCGUCAAUGUGUUUGCCAUUCCCGAUUCCAACAAGUCAUCCCGAGCUGCUUGGUUGGCAUUACCCGAUGCGAUCCUCUUCACUUCUGAUUUCAAAUUGUUCAAAUCUGUUUUGUACUCUCUCAACUUGACAAGAAGUGUAGCUUUCACACUCGGGGGCAAGCUCCGAGCUUCUAGAUCCAUUUUACGUAUCUUGGAUGUUAAGCACAGGUUGGACGUUAGUAAUAGAGUCUAAGGACAUAAGGAUCAAUAAUUCUAUGUGUGUUACCCAGUUACCAGUGCCUCAGCAUCUUCUAAUCCUCCACUAACUUCAGAUAGUUUCUGUUUCUUUUGUUCUGCCAUUGGAAAAGUUACACCAGUAUCAGCAGCAAAUGGAAGUAUAAAUAAAUUAUGUGCUUGUUUAAGGAACUAUAGUUGAGCGUCUUAAACAAGAGAUAAACCAAUCAUCCAUGAACUGAUGGCUAAUUGUUUCUGUCACACCUCCUAAGUUAUAAAAGCUCAAAACACGCCUAGCAAAUAGAUUUGACUCUCGAGAAAAAGUAUAAACAAAUUGAAAGGCUACAUCUACCAAAAUGCAAGGGAAGGUCUAUCAGGGCAACUGAAUCUCCUCUCUGAAACCUGUGAAGCCUCCAUCAAUCCCCAAUAUUUAGAAAUUGACAGUUUACACGCAUCCUGAUCCACAUCCCAAUCCCCAAUACCAUUUCCCCCAAAGUCAAGAAACACCCAAUCAUCAUGACCCAUACGCCUUGGUAAAAUCAAUCAAUCUUAAACACCAUGCACUAAUCAGCCUGCAUUUGAGACAAGAAGCAAAACUGCUUACACAGAGCCUAGUUCUAACUAGAAGAAGCUAGAUCCAUCAAUUGAACAACUAAAUGGAAAUUUAGCAUUCUAGUCCAAAGCAACUUCCUUAGAUAUGCACAAAUCUGACACAACAUCAUGGUUAGAAAUUUCAAAACUGCCAGAAGGAAGAAUAGGAGAAUCAAGCAUGAUGUUAAAAAGAUGAAAUCAUCAAAUCAAACGCUAGUGUCCAGACUUUUAUUAACACAAAAAUAAAAUAAUUUUCAAAACAUGCACAGCCAACAUGUUUUCAUCAAAUUAUGAGUAUCAUCACAUUUAGUGUUUUGAUCCAUUUUCUAACAUUUCAUAAGUGGAUCCAUUGUUCUUUCAAACUGGCAAUGUGAUUGUCAUCCUACAUUCAGCUAGAAGCAGCAAUACCCUCUAAAAAAUUGCAGCGCAAUUAAAGACAGCAAUACUCCCUCCUCGAAGAAAUGCAUAGACAUUAAAGAUCAGACUUAUCAUUACUUAUUACAUAACAUAUUGGCAAAACAAUCAAAAUUCACAAAACUGGAUGUAUAAUCUAAUAAGAAACUCAAAGCGGACUGGAAAUAUUUCGUCUCACCGCCAUCAAGGACACUAGCUGAAGUAAUCUUCUUCGAAAGAUUAGCAGAUAUCUCACAGUAUUGCCGCUCAUAACCUUCAAAUACUUGACUCAUCUUUUGAUCCCUCAACAAUCUCCUGCAACCAAUCCACAAGAACAAUACUCAAUUCCAAAUAAUCCUACACCGCACUGAUUCUCAUUUCUCAAAUUUUAAAUAUUGAGACAGACAUCCGAUCAAUAACCACUAUCAACUAAUUCUAGCCUCUUAAAAUUUUAUACGACACUCAUUCGGGCAACGCCACUAUCAACCAAUCCAAAUCCUCAAUUUUCAGACAUUGCAUCACUGAUACAAUCAACGUAAACCUAUUAAUCACCCGGAAUUCGAGGAUGUGAAAUGAGAAGCGCCGUUGAACUCUGAUUAAUCGAGACGAUUUACCUUAGGUUGAUCUGAUCGGAUCGGCGCCGGAAAAGAGAAGGCAAUGAUCGGAGAAAACACUCCGAAAUGCGAUGAAAAUUUGUUGGAACAAUCUAGAACGGUUAACGUUGAUGGCCUUCGGAAAAUUGUUUAAAACGUUAAUGGAGAGAGGCUAUGCGGCCGGAUCGCCGUCAGCCAAUAUGUAAAGACGGAAAUGCCCCGCUUCACGUCGGAUGCACAACUAUGAGUUAUGACUAUCGCUCAUACGUCUGAUUUCGAUUCGGGCUGAACAACAAACUUGAGCACACCACUAUUCGGGCUGAAUUUUUCAUUACACCCCUAGGCUUGGGUCAGCACGAAAAGAAUUUGCCUUCGGCCCGACGAAAUCCUUUUAGUUCGAUAAAAUGAAAUUUUGCAUCGUAAUGUAAUAGAGUGUUUGAAUAAAAAGAUUUUUUUUUUAGAGAAUAAAAAGUUGAAAAUUGUUAUCUAAGUUGUCACGUGAAAAUGUAAUGCCCUUAUAUGUUUACUAAAUUUCUAUAAAUGGACCAAAAAUUGCAUUUUUUGAAUCAUUUCAUUAUAAUUUGUAGAGGUCGUUGGAAGAUGUCAAUACCAAAUCUACUAUAACAGGUCGUUGAAUUUGAAUAGUCGGUCUAUUUUGUUGAGAUAUAUAUCUUGGAGAUUUUCCGGCAAUGUUUUUAAGGAAGUUGUAUUUAAAAGUAUUUGUACAAUUUUUUUCGUCUCAAAUAUAAUUUUCUUACGAUCUAAAGUAAUUCAGUUAAUCAAUUUUUUUGCUCGUGCUCUUGCUAGAGCGCUUAGGAAUUUUUAUAUCUCAUAUUUUUAUCUUAUUAUUUUAAAUAUGGGCUAUAAUAUUUAGCUAAUACGUAAUUAAAUAAACCGUUGAUAUUACACUGAGUUUUGCUAAUAUAUGGCACUGGCGCCAAUAAAAAUAGAAAAUAGGAAGAUGACAAAAAUAGAUUUAUAGAAUUUAACAUUUUCUUUUAAUCGAAGAAGAUAAGAUGCAGAACCCCAACAUAAAGAUGGCAAUCAAUGGCAGCUUCAACAUAGCCCCAAACAGGGCCCCCGCAGUCGCGCUCAAUCCACCCACCACUCCCCUGCAUUAUUCAUCAAAACUAUUCAAUUCUCACAACAAACCCACACAAAACACCAUUCAUUUCCAAAUUAGCCUCUACACACACACACAUUCUGUAUGUUUCUGCAUUCAUUCAUGAGAUUAUGCAUUGCCAUUUCUAGAGAGAGAGAAGGAAUACCAAACCUAGCAUUGUUGUGUUGGUGAUUGAUUGAUGGGUGCUGAGGCGACGUAUUCCGCCCAGAAGCGGAGCUCCACAAUUCUGCCCCAAACGACGGCCGCCGCCGCCAACGGUGCCGCCCGCGGCCACCUCCCCAAGGGUCGGCAGGCCGACCGCACAUUCAACAACAUCAAGAUAACAAUCCUCUGCGGAUUCGUCACCAUCCUCGUCCUCCGCGGCACAAUCGGCCUCAACAACCUCGUCUCCUUCGAGGCCGAAGCAGAGAGCCAAUACCUAAUCGAGGAAACCAGGCGAAUCGUCGCCGCCAUCCGCUCCGACGACGAUCCGCUCGAUUCCGAUUCCGAUUCCGAUUCCGAUUCCAAUUCCGACGCGUUCGAAAAAACCCCCAAUUCCAACUCAACCUCCAUUUUGGGCCCUAAAAUCACGAAUUGGGACGAAGACAAGAAGCUAUGGCGCCGCCGGAACCCCCAAUUCCCGUACUACAUCAACGGCCGACCCAAAACCUACCUCGUCACGGGCUCGCCGCCGAGGCCGUGCGAGAACGCCAUCGGCGACCAUUACCUGCUCAAGUUCCUGAAGAACAAGAUCGACUACUGCAGGAUCCACGGGAUCGAGAUCGUGUACAACAUGGCGCAUUUGGAUAAGGAGAUGGCGGGGAGCUGGUCGAAGCUGCCGCUGAUGCGGCGGCUGAUGGUGGCGCACCCGGAGGCAGAAUGGAUAUGGUGGAUGGACAGCGACGCUCUUUUUACGGACAUGGUGUUCGAGAUACCUUUCCAUAGGUAUCGGGGUUCGAAUCUCGUAAUACACGGCUACCCCGACAUGCUCUUUAAAGAUAAGUCGUGGAUAGCCCUCAACACUGGCAGCUUCCUUUUAAGAAACUGCCAGUGGUCAUUGGACUUACUGGAUGCCUGGGCCCGGAUGGGGCCCAGUGGCCGCAUCCGGGAAGAGGCCGGGAAGGUUCUGACGAGUAACCUGAAGGGCCGGCCGGCAUUCGAGGCCGACGAUCAAUCCGCGCUAAUAUACCUACUCGUCUCGGAGCAGGAGCGGUGGAUGAAGAUGGUGUCGAUCGAGAGCUCGUACUUCCUCCACGGGUUCUGGGAGGGUUUGGUGGACCGGUACGAGGAGAUGAUGGAGAAGUACCGGCCUGGGUUCGGGGACGAGCGGUGGCCGUUCGUGACGCACUUUGUCGGGUGCCGGACGUGCGCGGCGGCGAGGUGCUUGAGGAGCAUGGAGAGGGCCUACAACUUCGCGGAUAAUCAGGUGUUGAACUUGUUCGGUUUUAGACAUCGGGGGUUGGUUAGUCCUAAUAUUAAGAGGAUUAGGAAUGAGAGCAUAACGCCGUUGGUGAAUGUAGAUAAGUUUGGGAUUCGAAAUUCUUUGCGCGGGAGAAGAGGCUGACUUGUUCACCUUCAAACAAUCUUUUGCCAUGUAUUAAUAAUAGUUUUGUCAUUGGAUUUAAUUUAAUCAGCUUGAUUGUUGUUGUGUACGAGUGGGGAAAUGGCGUUUCUCUUGUUGUGGACUUGUGUGUAUUUUUAUCUCCUACUAUAGGAAGAUUUGUUUUUUGUUUUUUUGGAAAAUUGUAUUAUUAUCGGAGUUUGCAUAGAUAUGAUGUUUUUGGAUGAAUGGGAACCUACCCUGUGGAAGGAUCAGAGAAAGGCUUGUGUUUUGAGGAAACUUUGAUCCUACCAUGGCCUAUGGGUGUAUAUAUAGUGUCUAAAGUUAGCUUGGAUCUUACAUUUUUAGAUGAAUUUGGGAACACUAUACUCUGGUAGUUGUGGGAUCAAAAUUUGGCAGCAUUGUGUAUUCAGUUUGAAUCGAUUCAUUUUCUUUUAUUUUUCGUAACCGUUGUUGCCAAAAAAAUAAGAUUUAGGUUGUAUAUUUGAAAUUUUAAAAUUUGAGAGCCAAUUUGACAAAUUCAAUUUAAACUCAACAGAAAAACAGAUGUGCUAUGGUGUUUCACAUGCACAAAGGAACAACGUGUGUAUGUGCAUACUAAAAGAAAAGGGGACAUUCCGAUAUAUAUCCGGAUUCACAGGGGCAUCGUGUGGAGAAUUUUGGAAGGCCAAAAAUGAAAAUAUAUAUCUUCAAAAACUGAACACGGGUCGUUGAGAAAAUUGGGGAGAGUAUCAAGUUCUGCCAGUAGAAAUGGUUGAAGUCACACUAAGUAUCUUUUUGUGUUUUUUUUUAAAUAAUUGAAGUUCACGUCCUCUCGUUUGUAUGUAUGCAGAUUUCAAAUUUUUCUAUUUCAUUCUCUUUUCGUGUGUUCGUGGUAUCAAAAUUGAUAGACCUUUCAUCCUUUUUAAUACUUCUGAUAAUUUUGAACGAGAAUAUCAUCUUUACUUAUAAAGAAGGGUUAAUAAUCGAAAAAUACACGAAGUUUGCCCGAAUUUGCAAAUUGCACAUGACCUUCAAAAUUGGCCUCAGAAUACAUGACCUUUUGAUUUUAUCGUGAUUUGCAUACGGCGAGAAUUCCGGCUAUAAUUAAAGUUAACCGGCAACGACGUGGCAAUACGCGUGUCAUUUUUAAUGCUGUGGCAAUACACGUGGCAUAAAAAUUAAAAACAAUGUAAUUGUUUUAUACAUGUGGCAUAAGAGAGAGAGAAUCGCCUAAUUAGUCCUCUUCUUCUCCAGCAUCUGGCGCGGCGGACGUCUUUCGCUUCUCCUGGUGGCACUUGUCGGAGGCCUCGCCGGUGACGAAGCUGAUGAACUCCACGCGCAUGGGGAGAAGGAUUGUGGCUUCAGAUCUGGGGAUUUCUUCCCAUUUGACUCUGAUUUUUCCUCAUCACUCCUUCGAUUUCAUCUGGCGUGACUCCGAUUUUGGAAGGUUGGAGGCAGAGGAGGAUUGUGGCUUCAGAUCUGGGGAUUUCUUCCCAUUUGACUCCGAUUUUCCCUCACCAUUCCUUCGAUUUCAUCCGGCUCGACUUCGAUUUUGGAAGGUUGGAGGCGGAGGAGGAUUGUGGGGGAUUUGUGGAUUUGGGGGUUCUGCAAAUUUGGGGAUUGUCGGCUCUUCGCUACUGAAAUUCGUGGCAUGGUGUAGUGCUUGUGUCGUAUCGUCGCGUUGUGUGGUGUUUGUGUCGUGGUGUGGUGUUUGUGUCGUGGCUGGUGGAAGGCGGCGGCUGGAGACGAGGUCGCACUGUGCGGUGCGGCGGAGAUGGAGAAUGGCGGCGGAUGGAGGAUGGAGAUUCAGGGAAAGGGGCGGAGAUGGAAGAUGGCGGUGAGGCGACAUUCAUAUGAGCAAAGAAAAGGCGAGCGAUGGAGG
rnacentral:lncRNA from 1 species